UACGAGGGGGGCAAGCGUUGUUCGGAAUUAUUGGGCGUAAAGGGCGCGUAGGCGGUGCGGUAAGUCUGAUGUGAAAUCUCCGGGCUCAACUCGGAGUCUGCAUCAGAAACUGCCGGGCUUGAGUAUGGGAGAGGUGAGUGGAAUUUCCGGUGUAGCGGUGAAAUGCGUAGAUAUCGGAAGGAACACCUGUGGCGAAAGCGGCUCACUGGACCAUUACUGACGCUGAGGCACGAAAGCUAGGGGAGCAAACAGG
rnacentral:rRNA from 1 species